CCUUGCCGUUUGCAGGACCUUGGUGCGCCCUUCGUGCAAAGCCUGGGCGCGUUCCCACGUGCAAAGCCUGCGUUAGGGAGGAGCAGCCGCGCCCCCUCCCCAAAUAAUAGCUUCGGGGGCGGAUCGCUCGUUCUGUGUCUGUGUGUGUCCCCCCCACCCACACCAGCCACGUGAUGGAGCAGCAGCCCAACAUGGCGCAGUCCUCCUAGGCCGCUCCAUCCCAGCCCGGCGGGGAGGCCAUCUGGCCUUGCAGAGCAUCCCGGAGACCGGCAGCGCAAUUCACCCGCCAUGGUGAAGAUCUUUGUGGGGGGCCUGUCUCCCGUGGUGACGGCCGAGGAGCUGAGGAAGCUCUUUGAGCAGUACGGGCAGGUGAACGAGUGCGACAUCCUCAAGAACUUUGCCUUUGUGCACAUGGAGAAGGAGGAUGAGGCCCACCAGGCCAUCAGCGCCCUGCACAAGAGCGAGUUCUACGGGGCCCACCUGACGGUGGAAUACGCCACCUCCAAGAUCCGAAACGCCACCAAGAUUUACGUGGGGAACGUCUCCGCCAAGGCCACCACCUCCCAGAUCCGCCAGCUCUUUGAGAGGUUCGGCAAAGUGGUGGAGUGCGACAUUGUCAAGAACUACGCCUUCGUCCACAUGGCCAAGGAGAGGGAGGCCAUGGACGCCAUCUUGAACCUCAACGACACCCCUUUGGAGGACCAGAAAAUCUUCGUCACCCUUUCCAAGAGCAACAGCUCCCUGCGGGCUGCUAAGGGGGCGGCGGCAGCAGCAGCAGCAGCGGUGCCCACCCCGCCUCCCCCGUCCCCAAGCUACUACUUCUCCAGGGGGCGGCUGCCACCCCCGCCCCCGGCCUACACCCCCUACUGCCCCCGGGCGUGGUACGACAGGGAGUACUGCGACCGCUACUCGUACGAGCUCUACGACCGGGCCCGGGCCGCCUACGACCGGGCCUUGCCUCCUCCCCCUGCCGCCUAUAGGGAAAGGAGCCCCGUGGGCAGGCGGACAGCUGCCUCCACCGCCGUCGUGGCCCAGUACGCUGACCCCUACGCGGCUGCAGCUGCUGCGGCUGCCGCGGCUGCCGCCGCCGCCACCGCCAACCAGACCUACAACCCGGCCUACAGCCAGCCAGGGUACGCAGCCGCUGCUGCCGCUGCUGCCACAUACUCCCAGUACAGCAUAGGAACCGCCUACAACGUGGCGGAGUACUACGAGAGGUACGCCAGCGCAUACGCCGCCCAGUAUGCGCAGACCUUCUGAGCACGGUGUGCCUUUUCCGGCAGCAUCGCCACCGCAGUGUCUGUGAGGCCCUUUGCUGAUCACACGCUGACUUUUUACUCCAGCUUCCUUCCAAGCUGCUUCUGGAAGGCGACCUCGGGCAGGCAGAGCUGACCCGAAGCGACUCAGCGCCACCAGCCAGCCGAGAAGAAGGCGAAACUCCUGCAAGCGAACCUUCGGCCUCUUGCACUCGUAGCGUAGGCACUGGGAAGGAAUGGGGUGUUUGGGCAGGGGUGAGCGAGGGGCCUGGGAAGGGGGGGUUGUCUGGGUUAGGGUACUACCGUAAGAUGCUUUCCCCUCGCCUUCCUCCCCCCAGGCGGAAAGACCACUCAAGAGGAGGGUACGGGCGUGAUCUGCCCCUGGGCUGGGGUGCCCGGUCUGGUUCUUUCUGCGGAGAGACAGCUGGGGUUAUCUGGGUUAGGAGAGACAGCCAGGCUCAGACACAGCCUUCCUGUCCUUGGGUUCCCAUUUGCUCUGCCCAAAAGGGUUGGUUUUGUCUCUCUGAAAGGUAAGCAGAAGGACGGAGCCUCCGAGGUGUAAAGAAAAUAGUCCCCUUGCUGCCUGGUCCCACUCGUUUGUUUUAGGCCCCUCUUUGUCCUGCUGUCAGCUGACGGAUCCCCCGACAGCAGAGCCAGAUCUGAACUCGGGACCUCAUGAUGUGGGGAAGCCUGUGAGGUAAGCAAGCUCUUUCUCCACCCCACCCCCUGGCUGGGGCUGAGGGAGGGGUGGUGCUUUGCGGAGCCAAGGGGGGGGGGAGAAGCUCUUGCAGGAGAAGCCUUCAGCUCCAAACUCCCCACUCCACUACCUUGAACGUGACCUUUCUUCGGUGUCCUCUGGGUGUGGCUUCUGGGGACCCUCAAUCAUCAGAAGCUGAGGCAAGAGACAGAUGUCUGUGGAGCCCUUGGGGGAUACCUCCAUCCCCAUCUCCUCCUCACAAAGCAAUACAGUCGUCUCUCGGAAGUCGAACAGAAUCCAUUCAGAGGUCCAUUCAACUUCCAAAACGUUCAGAAACCAAAUCACAGCUUCUGACUGGCUGCAGGAAGCUCCUGCAGCCACUCGGAAGCCCUGCCGGACAUUCGGGUUCCCAAAGAAUGUAUGCAAACCGGAACAACCACUUUCCGGGUUUGCAGCAUUCGGGAGCCAAAAUAUCCAAGUUCCAGGGCAUUCAACAACCAAGAUCUGACUGUACUUGUGCCCCCGACUCCUGCUUUCCCUCCUCCCCGGGUUCUCCCUUAUCCUCCAAGUGGGGCCAUGAGCUUCACCCUUUGAGCUGUGGUAUGGCAAGAGGUGAGUUUGCACCUCCCUGGCUUGGCUGGGGCUUGUAGGACGCAGAAUCACAACCCGCCAUGAUUGUGUGGGUUUCACUUCCUGUCAUGAACUCUUUUCUGUGCGACAAUAAAAGCAGGUUGGCACAAGGACCCUUUGGCACAAGGACCCCCAAAGAGACGGCUUUUCAUCCAUGUGGCCCUCGCUCCCCAGCUCUGGCCACUUGGCACAGGAUCGUGCUGGAGUUGGGACUCCAGCCGGCAGCGCUGCCUAAUGGUCAGAGAUCCCUGGAGUUGGCCAGGUACGGAGAGCUCCCACAGGUGCUUUGAGGGAAGAGGAAGCAGGACAAAGGGGGGGACCUGAGAGGGAAAGAAGCAGGAGUUUUCCCUAGUGGUUGCUGUCUCUGCUGCCGCACGGUCUUCCCACACGUAGCAGCAGUGUAGGGGGGAAUAAAGCAGAUAGAGAAAAGUUUUUAUCCCUCCCUUGGAAGUCAUGGGCAUCCACAGCAGCUGGAUGUUGGAAGAUUGAGGGCAAGGUCCUUCACGCAGCACACAGUUAAACUGUGGAACUCCCUUCCACAGGAGGCAGUGAUGACCACCAGCUUGGAUGGCUUUAAAAGGGAAUUGGACAAAUUCAUAGAGGAGGAGGAGGCUGCUACAAGCCAUGAGCGCCAUUACCCUGCCUCCUGGGAGGCAGCAAUGCUUCUGAAUACCAGUUGCUGGAAACCACAGGAGGGGAGAAUUGCUCUUGUACUCAUGCCCUGUUUGUGGGUUUCCCGGUGGAGGCACCUGGCUGGCCACUGUGAGAACAGGAUGCUGGACCAGGUGGGCCCUCCUCGGCCUGACUCAGCAGGCUCUUACUCCAUUCCUUAGGAGAAAACGCUUGUAAUGCGUAACUCCCAGUGGUUGCUAUAAGGAAGCUGCUGCAGCGUGAAAACCCAACCUGCCAGGGGGAGGGGCAGAGCGGAGGAGGCAGGUGAGCAGGGAUUGGGUGGAGCAAGUGAGCUCCCUGCUGGCUAUGUGAAAUGUGAGAUGCUCCCACAGCUGGUCUUCUCCAUCCUCCAGACAUCACCAGAGUUCAGGAAUGCAUCCCAGCCAAGAAAUGAAACGUUGGAGCAGGGCUUAGGGAUAACCUUGAGGGUUAGAUUGGGGCCUGGAGGGCCACUUUUGACUCCUGAGCUAUUUGUAGGCCCUGGGGAGUGGGGCUUGAGACCUCAUGGAGCACCAAGGAACAUCACGAGUGCCUGAGAAAUUAAAACAGCUUUUAAAAAUGG